rnacentral:rRNA from 1 species
AGAGUUUGAUCCUGGCUCAGGAUGAACGCUAGCUACAGGCUUAACACAUGCAAGUCGNGGGGAAACGACAUCGAAAGCUUGCUUUUGAUGGGCGUCGACCGGCGCACGGGUGAGUAACGCGUAUCCAACCUGCCCACCACUUGGGGAGUAACCUUGCGAAAGUAAGACUAAUACCCAAUGAUAUCUCUAGAAGACAUCUGAAAGAGAUUAAAGAUUUAUCGGUGAUGGAUGGGGAUGCGUCUGAUUAGCUUGUUGGCGGGGUAACGGCCCACCAAGGCGACGAUCAGUAGGGGUUCUGAGAGGAAGGUCCCCCACAUUGGAACUGAGACACGGUCCAAACUCCUACGGGAGGCAGCA